rnacentral:lncRNA from 1 species
CUGGCCUAUCUUUCUCUGGCCCCCUCUCUCACUCUCAGCAGCUGUCUCUCACAGGCCCGCUGCCCUGCCUUUUCUUUGCCUCCUGCUCCGCCUGCCUGGGUGGCCGCCAUGGGUCGGAAGCGGUUCAUCACAGACUCCUACCCUGUUGUGAAGAAGAGGGAGGGGCCCCCUGGGCACAACAAGGGGGAGCUGGCACCCGAGCUAGGUCUCUGAAAUGUGGGGGUGGCAGGGAGAAAUGGACAUGAAGUGACCAGAAAGGACUCUGUGUGUGUGUGUGUGUGUGUGUGUGUGUGUGUGUGUGUGUGUGUGUGUGUGUGUGUUGGCUAAAAGGAGAAGCUAGCAUGUCUCGCACUUCCGAUGAGCUGUCUGUCUGCCCGAUGGCAAAGGCAAACGAGUGGGGAGAUAGCCAAGAAAUAGAGGCACAGCUCUGAGUCCAGGGCAAAGGCCUGGAUGAGCCUGAGGAGCCACAUGUUAUUGCAGGGGAAGACACCCAGUCCCUCAGCCAGGAGGAAACAGAGCUGGAGUUGCUGAGGCAGUUUGACCUGGCCUGGCAGUAUGGGCCUUGCACAGGUGAGAACCCCAUUUCCGGCCCCUCCCAUUAGGCACAGUUCUGUCAUCAAUGUGCCUCAGAAGUAGUCCAAGUGCCUGCCUAACUCUUGGACACCUGUUUCCUGAGACUGACGUAUGUAGGCUCAAGAAACUGCCCUCUGUAUUCUCUAGCCCAGACUC